AAGGUCCUUCAUCCCCGAUUCCUCAGCAGCCGGUUUGCUCUGUGUCUUCCUGAUACCGUCACAUCUCAGAAGCUAAGCAGAGCAGGAUCUGGUUGGUACUUGGAUGGGAGACCUCUUUGGAACACCAGUGGCUGUGUGU